UUUACGCUUUGGUGGCUCCCGAGCCGCCGCCGACCAAAGUGCUGGGAGCGACCGUUGGACUAGUGGACGGUGCUCACUGGAAGCAACCACCGUGGAUCGGCAGGGCGUUCUUUUCCCUGCUCAGUGAUCCACCCGCUUUGCUUCUGAAUCGGCUGGAUCGCUCCGACACCGGAAGUUACGUGUGCAACGUUUCGUACAACGGUGACAACGUAACCGACGCGGAUGUGACCAUAACGGAGGCUAUCGUGGAUCUGUUUAUAGCAGUUCCUCAGCAGCCGCCGGUUAUUAAGGACUCCCAAGGCAACCAACUGCGCGCUACAGCAGGGCCUUACGCUGAGGGCGACACCGUGGUGCUGACUUGCGCUGUGCCAGCCGCUGCCCACAAACUCACGCUCGCCUGGAGACGAAACGGCCAACCCCUGGGAUCAACGGCAGCUACCGUCGCGACGCCUAGCGGAGGAUGGGAGAACCAUCUCGAACUCGGUGCUUUGUUCCGCGAGGACUUGUUCGCAAACGUUAGCUGCGUGGCAACCAGCGACGUCACGCUGCCUGCAGAAAGCUCGGUGCUUAUCGACAUGUU
rnacentral:lncRNA from 1 species